rnacentral:rRNA from 1 species
CCUACGGGUGGCAGCAGUAGGGAAUCUUUCACAAUGGGCGAAAGCCUGAUGCAGCAACGCCGCGUGCAGGAUGAAGGCCUUCGGGUUGUAAACUGCUUUUAUAAGCGAGAAAUAUGAUGGUAACUUAUGAAUAAGGAUCGGCUAACUACGUGCCAGCAGCCGCGGUCAUACGUAGGAUCCGAGCAUUAUCCGGAGUGACUGGGUGUAAAGAGUUGCGUAGGUGGCAUAAUAAGUAGCUAGUGAAAUCUGGUGGCUCAACCAUUCAGACUAUUAGCUAAACUGUUAAGCUCGAGACCGUUAGAGGUAACUAGAAUUUCUAGUGUAGGAGUGAAAUCCGUAGAUAUUAGAAGGAACACCAAUAGCGUAGGCAGGUUGCUGGGACGAUUCUGACACUAAGGCACGAAAGCGUAGGGAGCAAACGGGAUUAGAUACCCCAGUAGUC